UAUGUGAUCGUCUCUCGCAUAUCAAUAAGCGGAGGAAAAGAAACUAACAAGGAUUCCCCUAGUAACGGCGAGUGAAGCGGGAAGAGCUCAAAUUUGAAAUCUUAAAGGGUUUCCCUUUACGAAUUGUAGUUUAAAGAAGUGUUUUCUGUUGAGGUUUUGGUAAAAGUUCUUUGGAAUAGGACAUCAUAGAGGGUGAGAAUCCCGUAUUUGACCUUUACUUUCAACUUUGUGAUACACUUUCAAAGAGUCGGAUUGUUUGGGAAUGCAGUCCAAAAUGGGUGGUAAAUUUCAUCUAAAGCUAAAUAUUGGCGAGAGACCGAUAGCGAACAAGUACCGUGAGGGAAAGACGAAAAGAACUUUGAAAAGAGAGUUAAACAGUACGUGAAAUUGUCAAAAGGGAAGCGUUUGACACCAGUGUUGUUUUUCUGAAAAUCAAUUAAAGAACUGUUUAUGCUAAGCUGUUUAGACUUUAUCAGCUAUCUGUUUAGUUUUGAGCUUUUCUUUAAUGCACUUUUCAGUUAACAAGUCAACAUCAAUUUCUUUUGCUGUAAAAAAGCUUGAGGAAGGUGGCUUGAGAUUCGUCUUAAGUGUUUAUAGCCUCUUGCCUAUGCAGUCGGAGAGAUUGAGGUCUGCAGCGUAGAUCCUUCGGGGCUAAAUGCAUUUGUGCUAAGUUAUAGCAUUUUAUAGACAACUUGUUGACUAUGAUUUGUCUUGUAGCUUACUCGCUUAUGUUAUUUUACCUACGCUUAGGAUGUUGAUCUGUAGUGCGUGCGC
rnacentral:rRNA from 1 species